ensembl:lncRNA
AUCGCUGUCUACACUUGGACUUGGUUUGGUCUGUUCAGAGACUCCUGGAAGUGGACAGAUCAAACCAACGUCUCUACCAUCCGCUGGAUGCCUGGAAAACCUGAUAAUCAACUGGGAAAUGAAAACUGUGGUUAUGUAAAUAACAAUGAGGUUGCUGAUGCACAAUGUUCAGACAUAAUGCCUUUCUUCUGUUAUUCAGGAAUGACAAUACAAAAAAUCAUGAGGGUUAAGGUCCGGUCCAGUCAGGAUGUGAACGAUCUUGCAGUACAGGUGGCCAUCUUGGAGCAGAUCAAGCAAAAACUGAAAGAUCAUGGGAUAGCAGAGAACAUCACAGUGAAAUGGAGAGAGCAACCAGAUGGAUCUGUGUUUCACAAGGAAUAAGAAAAUAAUGCUGCAGAAAAUGAAGAACUUUAAGUCUUUAGCUGUUUCUUAAAUCGUGUAACUCUGUAGUGCUCUAGAGUGACUAAUGUGUUCACUCUGGGAAGUUUAAUACGAUGUAGUUCACUAUUAAAUGGAGGGUGAAGGGAAAAAAUUGUUUAAACUAUUUCACUACUCAUAAUUCUAACAUAAUAUAAAUUUUGUCUCUUUACACGAAGUGUCUCUUUACACUAAAUGUAGUCAGCUGAGAUGUUUCUGGGUGUUUA